UACGACUACAUAUCAGGCAUAUCAAUAAGCGGAGGAAAAGAAACUAACUAGGAUUCCCUCAGUAACGGCGAGUGAAGCGGGAAGAGCUCAAAUUUGAAAUCUUCAAGGUUUUACCUUGACGAAUUGUAGUUUAAAGAAGUGUUUUCUGUUGGAGUUUUGGUAAAAGUUCUUUGGAAUAGGACAUCAUAGAGGGUGAGAAUCCCGUAUUUGACCAUUAUUUCCAGCUUUGUGAUACACUUUCAAAGAGUCGGAUUGUUUGGGAAUGCAGUCCAAAAUGGGUGGUAAAUUUCAUCUAAAGCUAAAUAUUGGCGAGAGACCGAUAGCGAACAAGUACCGUGAGGGAAAGAUGAAAAGAACUUUGAAAAGAGAGUUAAACAGUACGUGAAAUUGUCAAAAGGGAAGCGUUUGACACCAGUGUUGUUUUCUCGAAAAUCAAUUAAAAAAGGUGGGAUUUUGUGUUGUAUUGACCUUAUCAGCUUUCUGCACUCUUUUCUAGUCUUUUUUAAUGCACUUUUCGUUUAACAAGUCAACAUCAAUUUCUUUUGUUGUAAAAGGGUCAUUGGAAGGUGGCUUUCUCUUCGGAGAAAGUGUUUAUAGCCUUUGGCCUCUGCAAUCGGAGAGAUUGAGGUCUGCAGCGUAGAUCCUUCGGGGUUAGAUACAUUUGUGCUAAGUUAUAGCCUUUCAUAGACAACUUGUUGACUAUGAUCAGUCAUGUAGCUUACUCGCUUAUGCUAUUUUACCUACGCUUAGGAUGUUGAGCGCAUGUCUCUCUCU
rnacentral:rRNA from 1 species